GGAUUACCUCAGUAACGGCGAGUGAAGCGGUAACAGCUCAAAUUUGAAAUCUGCCGCAAGGCCGAGUUGUAAUUUGUAGAAGAUGCUUUGGGUAUGGCCCCGGUCUAAGUUCGUUGGAACACGACGUCAUAGAGGGUGAGAAUCCCGUAUGUGACUGGGUGCUUUUGCCUAUGUAAAGCUCUUUCGACGAGUCGAGUUGUUUGGGAAUGCAGCUCAAAAUGGGUGGUAUAUUUCAUCUAAAGCUAAAUAUUGGCCAGAGACCGAUAGCGCACAAGUAGAGUGAUCGAAAGAUGAAAAGCACUUUGGAAAGAGAGUUAAACAGUACGUGAAAUUGUUGAAAGGGAAGCGCUUGCAACCAGACUUGCACGCUGUUGAUCAUCCAGGCUUCUGUUUGGUGCACUCAACUGUGUUCAGGCCAGCAUCGGUUUUGGUGGUGGGAUAAAGGCCUUGGGAAUGUAGCUUCUUUCGGGGAGUGUUAUAGCCCUCGGUGCAAUGCCGCCUACCGGGACCGAGGACCGCGCUUCGGCUAGGAUGCUGGCGUAAUGGUUGUAAGCGACCCGUCUUGAAACACGGACCAAGGAGUCUAACAUCUAUGCGAGUGUUUGGGUGUCAAACCCAUACGCGUAAUUAACGUGAACGGAGGUGAGAACCCUUAAGGGUGCAUCAUCGACCGAUCCUGAUGUCUUCGGAUGGAUUUGAGUAAGAGCAUAGCUGUUGGGACCCGAAAGAUGGUGAACUAUGCCUGAAUAGGGUGAAGCCAGAGGAAACUCUGGUGGAGGCUCGCAGCGGUUCUGACGUGCAAUCGAUCGUCAAAUUUGGGUAUAGGGGCGAAAGACUAAUCGAACCAUCUA
rnacentral:rRNA from 1 species